rnacentral:rRNA from 1 species
UAACGGCGAGUGAAGCGGCAACAGCUCAAAUUUGAAAUCUGGCCCCUAGGGUCCGAGUUGUAAUUUGUAGAGGAUGCUUCUGGCGCGGUGCCUUCCGAGUUCCCUGGAACGGGACGCCAUAGAGGGUGAGAGCCCCGUCUGGUUGGACGCCAAGCCUCUGUGAAGCUCCUUCGACGAGUCGAGUAGUUUGGGAAUGCUGCUCUAAAUGGGAGGUAUAUGUCUUCUAAAGCUAAAUACCGGCCAGAGACCGAUAGCGCACAAGUAGAGUGAUCGAAAGAUGAAAAGCACUUUGAAAAGAGGGUUAAACAGUAUGUGAAAUUGUUGAAAGGGAAGCGCUCAUGACCAGACUUGGGCCUGGUGAAUCAUCCGGCGUUCUCGCCGGUGCACUUUACCGGUCCAGGCCAGCAUCAGUUCGCCUCGGGGGAUAAAGGCUUCGGGAAUGUGGCUCCCUCGGGAGUGUUAUAGCCCGUUGUGUAAUAC